AUUGAACGCUGGCGGCAGGCCUAACACAUGCAAGUCGAGCGGAUGAAGGGAGCUUGCUCCUGGAUUCAGCGGCGGACGGGUGAGUAAUGCCUAUGAAUCUGCCUGGUAGUGGGGGAUAACGUCCGGAAACGGGCGCUAAUACCGCAUACGUCCUGAGGGAGAAAGUGGGGGAUCUUCGGACCUCACGCUAUCAGAUGAGCCUAGGUCGGAUUAGCUAGCUGGUGGGGUAAAGGCCUACCAAGGCGAGGAUCCGUAACUGGUCUGAGAGGAUGAUCAGUCACACUGGAAGUGAGACACGGUCCAGACUCCGACGGGAAGCAGCAGGGGGGAAUAGUGGACAAGGGGCGGAAGCCUGAUCCAGCCAUGCCGCGUGUGUGAAGAAGGUCUUCGGAUUGUAAAGCACUGUAAGUUGGGAGGAAGGGCAGUAAGUUAAUACCUUGCUGUUUUGACGGUACCAACAGAAUAAGCACCGGCUAACUUCGUG
rnacentral:rRNA from 1 species